rnacentral:rRNA from 1 species
CCCAGACUCCUACGGGAGGCAGCAGUGAGGAAUAUUGGUCAAUGGCCGCAGGGCUGAACCAGCCAAGUCGCGUGAGGGAUGACGGUCCUAUGGAUUGUAAACCUCUUUUGUCAGGGAGCAAAGGGCGCCACGUGUGGCGCUUUGCGAGUACCUGAAGAAAAAGCAUCGGCUAACUCCGUGCCAGCAGCCGCGGUAAUACGGAGGAUGCGAGCGUUAUCCGGAUUUAUUGGGUUUAAAGGGUGCGCAGGCGGAAUGUCAAGUCAGCGGUAAAAUUUCGGGGCUCAACCCCGUCGUGCCGUUGAAACUGGCGUUCUUGAGUGAGCGAGAAGUAUGCGGAAUGCGUGGUGUAGCGGUGAAAUGCAUAGAUAUCACGCAGAACUCCGAUUGCGAAGGCAGCGUACCGGCGCCCAACUGACGCUGAAGCACGAAGGCGUGGGUAUCGAACAGGAUUAGAUACCCGCGUACC